GCCCUAGCAAUAGGGAGUGGCAGACGGGUGAGUAACGCGUGGGAACGUACCCUUCGGUCUGGAAUAACCCAGGGAAACUUGGGCUAAUACCGGAUACGUGCGAGAGCAGAAAGAUUUAUCGCCGAAGGAUCGGCCCGCGUCCGAUUAGCUAGUUGGUGAGGUAAAAGCUCACCAAGGCGACGAUCGGUAGCUGGUCUGAGAGGAUGAUCAGCCACACUGGGACUGAGACACGGCCCAGACUCCUACGGGAGGCAGCAGUGGGGAAUAUUGGACAAUGGGCGAAAGCCUGAUCCAGCCAUGCCGCGUGAGUGAUGAAGGCCCUAGGGUUGCAAAGCUCUUUCGCCAGGGACGAUAAUGACGGUACCUGGAUAAGAAGCCCCGGCUAACUUCGUGCCAGCAGCCGCGGUAAUACGUAGGGUGCGAGCGUUAAUCGGAAUUACUGGGCGUAAAGCGUGCGCAGGCGGUUUUGUAAGCCAGAUGUGAAAUCCCCGGGCUCAACCUGGGAAUGGCAUUUGGGACUGCAAGGCUCGAGUAUGGCAGAGGGGGCUAGAAUUCCUGGUGUAGCAGUGAAAUGCGUAGAUAUCAGGAGGAAUACCGAUGGCGAAGGCAGGCCCCUGGGU
rnacentral:rRNA from 1 species